rnacentral:tRNA from 1 species
GAAGGAUCUCGCGCAGCUUGGUAGCGCGUUUGUUUUGGGGACAAAAUGUCACGGGUUCAAAUCCUGUCAUCCCUACCUAUUACUGAUUCUUUAAGCAGUAACGCGC